rnacentral:rRNA from 1 species
UACGUAGGGGGCAAGCGUUGUCCGGAUUUAUUGGGCGUAAAGAGCGUGUAGGCGGCCAGGUAGGUCUGCUGUGAAAACUCGAGGCUCAACCUCGAGACGUCGGCGGAAACCAUCUGGCUAGAGUCCGGAAGAGGAGAGUGGAAUUCCUGGUGUAGCGGUGAAAUGCGCAGAUAUCAGGAGGAACACCAAUGGCGAAAGCAGCUCUCUGGGACGGUACUGACGCUGAGACGCGAAAGCGUGGGGAGCGAACAGG